rnacentral:rRNA from 1 species
GAUGAACGCUGGCGGCGUGCCUAAUACAUGCAAGUCGAGCGAACGGACGAGAAGCUUGCUUCUCUGAUGUUAGCGGCGGACGGGUGAGUAACACGUGGAUAACCUACCUAUAAGACUGGGAUAACUUCGGGAAACCGGAGCUAAUACCGGAUAAUAUUUUGAACCGCAUGGUUCAAAAGUGAAAGACGGUCUUUCUGUCACUUAUAGAUGGAUCCUCGCUGCAUUAGCUAGUUGGUAAGGUAACGGCUUACCAAGGCAACGAUGCAUAGCCGACCUGAGAGGGUGAUCGGCCAAAAGGGAACUGAGACACGGUCCAGACUCCUACGGGAGGCAGCAGUAGGGAAUCUUCAGCAAUGGGCGAAAGCCUGACGGAGAAACGCCGCGUGAGUGAUGAAGGUCUUCGGAUCGUAAAACUCUGUUAUUAGGGAAGAACAUAUGUGUAAGUAACUGUGCACAUCUUAACGGUACCUAAUCAGAAAGCCACGGCUAACUACGGG